GACGAACGCUGGCGGCGUGCUUAACACAUGCAAGUCGAACGGAAAGGCCCUGCUUUUGUGGGGUGCGCGAGGGGCGAACGGGUGAGUAACACGUGAGUAACCUGCCCUUGACUGUGGGAGAACCUAAGGAAACUGGGGCUAAUACCGGCUAGGAGCUCCUGCUGCAGGGUGGGCGCGGGAUAGAUUCGGUGGUUGGGAGUGUAAUGGCGGCUUAUGAGCUUGAUGGUUGGGUAGUGGCUGAGCAAGGCUAGGAAGGGUAGCAGGCCUGCGCGGGUGAGCGGACACAUUACGCCUGAGAUACGACACAGACUCGAACGGUAGGCAACAGUGGAGAAGAUUGCACAGUGGGCGGGAGCCUGGUGUAGCACAGCCGCGUGCGGGAAGACGGGCUUCGGGUUGUGAAGCGCUGUCGCUUGUGACGAGGCGAGAGUGACGGUACCGGGUGAAGAAGCACCGGCUAACUACGUG
rnacentral:rRNA from 1 species